GCGGGCGUAGCUCAGUUGGUAGAGUGUCAGCUUCCCAAGCUGGAUGUCGCGGGUUCGAGUCCCGUCGCCCGCUCCA
rnacentral:tRNA from 3 species